AUUGAACGCUGGCGGCAUGCCUUACACAUGCGAGUCGAACGGCAGCACGGGGGCAACCCUGGUGGCGAGUGGCGAACGGGUGAGUAAUGCAUCGGAACGUGCCCAGUAGUGGGGGAUAACUAGUCGAAAGAUUAGCUAAUACCGCAUACGACCUAUGGGUGAAAGCGGGGGAUUCGCAAGAACCUCGCGCUAUCGGAGCGGCCGAUGUCUGAUUAGCUAGUUGGCGGGGUAAGGGCCACCAAGGCUUCGAUCAGUAGCUGGUCUGAGAGGACGACCAGCCACACUGGGACUGAGACACGGCCCAGACUCCUACGGGAGGCAGCAGUGGGGAAUUUGGACAAUGGGCGCAAGCCUGAUCCAGCCAU
rnacentral:rRNA from 1 species